CGCAUGCAAAUUUACCCAGCAAAAUGUGCGUGCUGGGGGCAGUCUUUUGGGUGCCAUCUGGGUGUAUUUCAAUAUAGUGCAUCCAGGUGCAUUUUAGUGGGAAUGUAAAAAAAACCAAACUCAAACCCGAAGGUUGCCGAUGCGCAUUUUUUUACAAUCGUCUUUUUUCGGAACUGUUCUCUUGACAAACAAAUAAUAAAGACAAAAGGGAACAUGCAAGGAAGCGAGCGGUUUUUCUUGUCUUUUGCAUUUCUCGUCAGUUGCAUUUUUAGUUCUGAAAAGUGAAGUUCGUGCCACGUGUUUUGAAAAAGUUUGUUGCUUUCUGCCACCAAUUUUACAUCAAUAUUUUCACAGAAUCGCAAAAAAUGAAUGGGCACACCAAGGACUGAACUGCGUAAAUGACAAAAGUACAUAAACAAGAAGGAAGCACCAAAGCACCGUACAGAAGGGGAGUUACUCCGAUUAAAAAUUAGUUGCGUUUUUGAAUAUUGAAAUGAAAAUAAAUAUGAAAUUGAAAUCCA